AAAAUGUAUGUGACUGAACGUACACCAUGAGUUGCGUGGUUGUAAAAUUACAAGUUUCUAUGAAUUGAUCAAUGGCCGCCGCAUAAAAAAAGAUGGGGACUAUUUCUAUGGAUUUAAGGGUGGUGUUAUAAUGACGACAACGACGACAAGCGGCUGAUACCACGUUAAUAAGAUUGCGAAACCAAAUCUUCGAGUGAAUUGGAUACUGACGAGGACUAAGCUCACAAAAAACUAGAUGUUUUUGCGAUAAAUACCCCUCGCUUCUCCUGAAAACUAACAAAUAAUAUAAUGCAAGU